GGUCGAUGCUAGAGGUGCUUUUGAGGGGGUUGUGCCGAUCAAAAGGCAUGGUCCCCCAUAUGGCUGAGAAAUACUCUUAACACCUGAUCAGGGUAAUGCCUGCGAAGGGAAGCGUCGACCAAGUUUC
rnacentral:ncRNA from 2 species